rnacentral:rRNA from 1 species
CACUCUAAGCACAUAAUUUAAAGCAUCUCCUGCUCAAUGAAUAUUUAAAUAGCCGCAGUUUCAUCUGUGCUAAGGUAGCAUAAUAAAUAGCCUAUUAAUUAUAGGAUAGAAUGAAAGGACCAACAAUAUUUAUCUAUAUUUAAUUCCCUACAUAAACUCAAUUAAAAGUAAAAAUUCUUUUACACAAAGAAAGACGAUAAGACCCUAUAGAACUUAACUAUAGUUAAACUGGGGUGGUUUAUUAACUAAAUCUUACAAUUCUAACAAUAAAACACCUUUCAAUUAAUUAAUACAAGUUACCUUAGGGAUAACAGCACAAUUAUUAUUUAAAGCUCUCAUUAAAAUAAUAGAUUAUGACCUCGAUGUUGAAUUGGAAAUUACUAAUAUAAUGCAAAAAUUAAUAUAGCAAGUCUGUUCGACUUUUAAAAUUCCACAU